GACGAACGCUGGCGGCAUGCCUUACACAUGCAAGUCGAACGGCAGCAUGGAGAGCUUGCUUUCUGAUGGCGAGUGGCGAACGGGUGAGUAAUGCAUCGGAACGUACCGUGUAAUGGGGGAUAACGUAGCGAAAGUUACGCUAAUACCGCAUACGACCUGAGGGUGAAAGCAGGGGAUCGCAAGACCUUGCGUUAUACGAGCGGCCGAUGUCAGAUUAGCUAGUUGGUGAGGUAAAGGCUCACCAAGGCGACGAUCUGUAGCGGGUCUGAGAGGAUGAUCCGCCACACUGGGACUGAGACACGGCCCAGACUCCUACGGGAGGCAGCAGUGGGGAAUUUUGGACAAUGGGGGCAACCCUGAUCCAGCCAUGCCGCGUGAGUGAAGAAGGCCUUCGGGUUGUAAAGCUCUUUCGGCCGGGAAGAAAUCGCACAGGCUAAUACUCUGUGUGGAUGACGGUACCGGCAUAAGAAGCACCGGCUAACUACGUGCCAGCCGCCGCGGUAA
rnacentral:rRNA from 1 species